rnacentral:lncRNA from 1 species
UCACUUGGACCGCAAUCCCUCUCAGCCUGCCUCUCCACACUCGACCUCUCCCCAGAAUGAAGGCUUCCAUCGUUAUUUAUAGAUGGGGAAAAGAACUAUGCAAAUUUUAGUUGGUUUGAAAUCUGACGAAAUUCAAUUGAUUUGAAAUCUGAAAGCUUGUAGAAGUCGAAAUCGAAGUUGGAACUUAAUUGAUUUUGAGUCUGAUUUCUUGUAGCAUCUUGUCUUUUCUGUACAGUGUUAGGAAUCUUUUUGUAGAUGAACAGUAGUGAUGUCAGAAAUUAUCCUGUAGCUUUCUUAUCAUCUUUAGAUCCUAACGUA